GGCUAGAGGUGGACGUGCAGCCAUGUGGGGAGCUUACUAGUACUAAUCGGUCGAGGGCUUAUCCU
rnacentral:rRNA from 1 species